rnacentral:misc_RNA from 1 species
GAUGAAGAACGUAGCGAAAUGCGAUAAGUAAUGUGAAUUGCAGAAUUCAGUGAAUCAUCGAGUCUUUGAACGCACAUUGCGCCCCCUGGUAUUCCGGGGGACAUGCCUGUCCGAGCGUCAUUGCCGCCCUCAAGCACGGCUUGUGUGUUGGGCCCCCGCCCCCCGGCUUCGGGGGGCGGGCCCGAAAGGCAGCGGCGGCACCGCGUCCGGUCCUCGAGCGUAUGGGGCUUCGUCACCCGCUCUGUAGGCCCGGCCGGCGCCCGCCGGCGACCCCAAUCAAUCUUUCCAGGUUGACCUCGGAUCAGGUAGGGAUACCCGCUGAACUUAAGCAUAUCAAUAAGCGGAGGA